UACGCAGGGGGCUAGCGUUGUUCGGGAUUACUGGGCGUAAAGCGCACGUAGGCGGACUUGUAAGUCAGGGGUGAAAUCCCGGGGCUCAACCCCGGAACUGCCUUUGAUACUGCAAGUCUAGAGGUCGAGAGAGGUGAGUGGAAUUCCGAGUGUAGAGGUGAAAUUCGUAGAUAUUCGGAGGAACACCAGUGGCGAAGGCGGCUCACUGGCUCGAUACUGACGCUGAGGUGCGAAAGCUUCGAGAGCAAACAGG
rnacentral:rRNA from 1 species